AGGCUUGGUGCCUUGUCUUCUGAUUCGACUGGACUGGGUGCUUUCUCAUCCAGAGAAAUAGCGCUCAAUUUUCUUUCGUCUUCCUUAACGGGGAUUGGUGCCUUCUCAUCGAGCUCAAUAGGACUAGGUGCCUUCUCAUCGAGCUUGGAUGGGCUUGGCUCUUUUUCGUCAGGCUUGAGUGGGCUUGGUGCUUUCUCGUCGGGCUUGAUGGGGCUUGGUGCCUUGUCUUCUGAUUUGAUUGGACUGGGUGCUUUCUCAUCGAGAGAAAUAGCGCUCAAUUUUCUUUCAUCUUCCUUGACGGGGCUUGGUGCCUUCUCAUCGAGCUUGGAUGGGCUUGGCUCUUUUUCAUCAGGCUUGACAGGGCUUGGCGCUUUCUC
rnacentral:lncRNA from 1 species